rnacentral:lncRNA from 1 species
UUGCUGUACAGACUACCACCGGCUGGCUGGUUCGCUCUGUGUAUAUACACAUGGCCCAGAACACAGCAGCAGCAGCAGCAGCAGCAGCAGCAGCAGCAGCAGCAGCAACAGCAGCAGCAGCAGCAGUGGCACCACCCAACUGAACAGUAAAACUCUAUUACUGAAGAUGCCACUCACCUUGCUUGCAGAGCACAGAUAAAUCAUGGAACUGAGCUGGAAGAUUCCACCUUGCUCUAGACCUGAUGGUGGUGGAAGUUCCUAUGCAGUCAGCCUGGUGGGAACAGAGGACAGAGAUUGGUGUACAACUAUCACACUUGCUCUGAAAUUCUUGUCCAGCAUUUGACAAAGAAGACCAGAAACUACCCUGCUGACUCCAUUUUUUCAUAGUUACCCCUUAAAGGAGAAAAAAAUAAAAGCAAUAAUAUAGUGAGCAAUUGGAGAAUAGGAAAUAGAUUUUUGUCUUUAGAGGAGUUGUAAAAUGUGUGGCUUCUCUUCAGAAUUCAGAAGUACACAGGGCAGGGACCCAGCAAUUUCAGCACAGAUUCCAAGGUCACAUUUCUCGUGUAGGUGAAUUUGGACAAAGCACAAUAGGGCUUUAUAUAUGCAGAUAUUUACUGGGUUACAGUUCCUUAGACAUGCCAGUGAUUGUCGAUGACAUUGUCACCAUUCUGAAUGGCAGACAAGUUACUCCUCAGUCCAGUCUCCCCUCCAUCUGUCUACUCACUCACCACCACAGUGUGUCUUGGCUAAUUAUUAUAGCUCUUCAGAUGUUCCCAAGCCCGUUGCACUUUUCUUUAACUCAGUAGUAUUUCUUGCGUACCUGUCAUGUUCUGGAUACU